CUAAUGAUCCUAGGCGAGAGGAAACACAUAAAACUGGCGGUCUGUUAUUGUGCAGAUCUAGACUGCUUCUACUAUUCAUGAAUGGCCUUACACUUUUAACUGUUAUUGUUAGGAUGAUGCCCUGCAACGAAUUACUGAUAUUACCUACAUAUAGUUACACGCUUUUAAUUAUCAAAAAACGUAUUGUGACAUAUUGACUUAUCGUGUUAAAGCCUAUUGCCCUAUAGCAAGUGAGAUUUUACUACGCGGAACGGUUUGUUUGGCAAUCCAAUCCGAGUCUUGACUCAUUUUUUGAGGCGCUUUAAAUAAACGGACAGAAUGAAGACUCCUCAGCAACAGGAAGUCGCCGAGAAUGCUGGAGGAUAUUAAAGAGGAACAAUUAAUCUAUAUACGGAACCCUAUUUGAGGUCCAUAUAUAAACUCCACACGAUAUUCUCAGCGCCAGAGUCUACCGCACCAGAGUAAAACUGCCGGAAUUCCAAACUGGUCGACGCUCACAAUGAGAUACAUUGCUGUUUUUGUUUAUAUGUUCUGUUGUACUGCCAUCUACGGCCAUCGAUGUCCAGAAUAUCCAUCACUGAUCAACGAUCUUAUGGACGGCGACUGUUCCGCUCAACUAACAAACGUUUUAAGUGUUUUGUGUACAGAACAAUCUUCAGGUACAGUGAAUCACCAUGGUCGUGUCAAACGCAACGAGGGAAUGACAAGACUCGUGUGUGACUGUUGUUUACGAAGUUGUAGUAUCCAAAAACUUCAAGAAUACUGCUGGCUUGUAUAGUGACGUGAUAGCCGUCGACCGGAACCGGAUGUGGAGAGUGCGGAUAUGAACAUAAAAUAAUACCUAAAACAGCGGUUGAAAGAAAAUGAGAAUAUAUAUGUGCGAGAAUAGUCGAAUAGUGCUAUAAUAAUCUGCAUUUGAUCACAUUGCAAAAAAGUGCUUCUACUCCCUUCAAUUAAAGAACAGUAUCUUUCCAUUGUACAUAAUUAUACGCAUGCUUAUUGGUUCAUGAUCAGAUGAUUUCGACAGGGAUAUCUGCUCGAUCUGUUAUAACGCUGAUAAGAUUUUAAGAAACUUUAAGAACAUGGCACAUCUAACAUGUAUUUAUGAAGUUUGCCUUGUUAUCAUUGACGCUUAAAAACUGGAGCUUAAAAAAUGGACCAGUACUCGAAAGAUAUGCUUUUAAUCAUCCUAGUCUCUUCUAAUACAUAUGUAAAGAAACAUGCAAAUUGUUAUUGUUAUGUAUAAGUCUCACCAUAGAUAGAUUCGGGUUCAGUUAUUGACGUAUAACAUUUACAUUGACAUGUGUGUAUGACAUAUGCAAUAACCUUUUACAUUCCAAUUGACUAAAAAUUUGAAAAAGUAAAUGGUCAAAACAUGUUUAAUGUUAAAGUAAUGGUUCACACUAAGUAUCGUACAAUAGUAAAUACCACUUACAAGUAAAUAAAACAAUUUAAUACGAAUUAAGUAAUGGAUAACCAUAUGUGAAACAUUGUAUUUUACAAAACUGCAACAAACAGUCUGUAGGAUUCGUCAUUGUUGCAAUGAGCGUGACCCUAUAAACUGUACAGGCAGUUAUGGUGAAUGAGCUAUCCCGUUCCUAUAGCUGUCUUAUCAAGGACCAAUGAUGUUUUAUGCAUAAGCAUUGUACGAAAGAAAAACACGAGAACAACAGUUUUAGACACGAUUAUAGAUAAUGAUAUACUGUAAAAGUGGAAAUAUUCGCGGUGUGGAAAUUUUCGCUUAUUUCGCUAUCAGUAAAUCUCCGCGAAAAUUUCCACACGCGAAUAUAUUAACACAUAAAAAUACUAAAUAUAAAAGAUACAAGUUAGCGCAAAAAUAUCUUGACGGCGUGAAAAUAUCCACACCGCGAACACUUUGGAAGCUGGCUAAGCGAAAAUUUCCACACGCGAAAAUAUCCACUUUUACAGUAUGUAAUACCAUUGAUAAAGCGGUCUUAUUGUACUUCAAUGACUCUUCAGUGUCCCACAAAGACAAAAAAAUGGGGAAACCGUAAUUAACUUCAAAAGUGAUUAACAUAUAGAAAUAAAGGUACAUUGCCCAAUAAUGCAAUAACCUUGAUUAAUAUGAAUAUUGAAUGAGCUAAACAGGAAAAGACAAAUUAAAUAAAUGUGAAUAUUCUGAAUGAACUUAUGCUGAAAGAACAAUCAUUUAGGCGUAGUGAACAAAUGUUGCGCUUUCACAUCAGAACUGGGAUUGCGAUAACGAAACCACUAGACAUAUUCAAAGGUUUCAAAUCUUCAAACUUCAUAUCGCACAAAGGACUGAAAUCCUGAUGUUCCUACUAAGAUUGAACUUUUGUACUGUCAUGAACCUUACCUGAAUUUUUCAACAACAUAAAUCUGAUGUCGUUUUCCCUUUAAGGCAUCUGUGUAGGAAACCGAGACCUUAUGACAAUCUUAGGACAAUCUCAAUAUUUUGAUAUAUCGUAGACCUGUGGGGAGAAUGAGGCAAACAAUUAAGAAACGGUAACUUUACAAUGAGAAACUUUACAUCGUUAUAAUUACAAUAUAUCUGAAAGACAAAUUGUAGGACUGGCAAUGAUUUGCCUCCUGUCCUGAUCAACUUUCCGAUUGAUAAUAAAUCCAGGCUCAUAUAAAAUUAUAUAUACAUAAACAUUUGUCUAGGACAAAGGCACAAUUUGUUAGCAUGAGUAUACCAACAAUCUGUUGAAACAAUAUUUCCACUUGAAUGAAUAAAGACAGGAAUUUA